GAAGCCAGGCCAAGAAGAAUCCCAGGACUGGAAGGCCUUGUGGGACGUCCCAGGUUUGUCUUGUGUCAAUAGCACUGAUACUCAAUCUCCUACUCCCAUCUGUGAGCAUGCAGACCCUACUUGCCUUCCCACAGCCUCCCUUUUCAUAUUUUUCAUGUUUCUUUAGCUCUGUCUUCAAGCCUUGUUGCUCCCGCAAAAAAACCUGCCUCUUCCUCCAGUCCUCCCAAGCAGGGGGAACAGUCCUGACACCUUUCCAAGCCCUGGUCCAUGGACAUUGUGCCCCCUUCUCCCUGCCCAUGGUGACCUGCUCCAAAACCCUCAAGGAGAAGGGAGUGUAUGUCAUUUCCUCCCUGUAAAGUAAAGAUAAUUUUGCAGGGGACUGUGUGGAUGAAAUGACAUGAUGCAUGGAAAUCCCUUAGCGUGUGCCUGGCAUGUAAACUGCAGGUGUCAUCAUUAUUACUGAGGAAUACUGAGUCCCGAACAUGGCUGUCUCAUUGGUGGACUGGGGUCUCCCCCAGGGCAUUCAUCUACUAUGUGUUUAUUGCACCCUUUUUCCAUGUGAGGCACAUGCCAGGGACUGGGCACAUGGUAUGAACAAGACACAGGUCAUCGGUGUCCUCUUGAGCUCCCUGGCUUGGCAGCAGAUGCAUACCUGGGAAGGAUGCUAGGUCAUCCGGGAACUCUACCUCCUUCAAAUCCCUAAGGACUGUGCUCCCAAUCCGCUUACGCUCAAGGAAGAACUGGAAGGCCCAGAACCAGCCUGCUGUCAGGAUCAGAACAAAAGAGGAGGACUGCAUAUGUAUGGACCCACUCCAGAUGGCACGGGGACGGGGGGAGUAGGAAAAGUGGCAUGGUCCCUUCCCGUGGAUAUAAUUCUUCCCAGGCCUGUUGUGUGAGUUGGUGAUGCCAUCAUUCCUGCCUCACACUUGCAAACUUCCCUCUUUGGAAUUUCAGAGACCAGGCCCACAGAGUAUGGCUGUGCAAGUUGUUCACUCUACAAGGGCACCUGGCCGGGGUCUUACCUUGAAUGGAGGAGAAGAGCUUGAAGAUGAGGGGACAGGCCAAGACAACUACCUGGCCCCGAGGGGUGGCUGGCCAGCAGAUGAGGAAAUGGAGGCACAGACUGAUUAGAAAACCAGCUCAAGGUCAUGUUGCUGCUCUCUCAUUCCUGUUGAGGGCUCUCUGGUGGAGCCUCUGUCUCACAGGUCACCUGCAGGCCAACACUCCCAGAAGCAGCUAGCACCAUGGUUGACCUCGUCCAGGUCCAGGGAAGGCCUCCCUCUCCAGGACUCCUUUAGAUUUCCCCAGCAUCCAGACCUCACCUGCCUAAGUGCUGUUGCCCUGGAAGCCACAGUGAGCACGAGCUCCAUCUUGCACCUUUACCAGCCAAUGGGGGUAAAGACAUUAGCUGGGUUACUCAGGCUGAAAUGCUCAAGACACUCUGUCUCAAGGGAUUUGUGGCUGUUUCAUCCUCAAGUAUAGGGGGAAUAGUGGCCAGGAAGAUCUCAGAGGUGGCUUCUGGAAGAGGAAUCUGGGUACUGGCUACCCUGCCUUGUGUCCCAUCAUUGGUCUGUCUUGCCUGUCUUGGAGCACAUUUCUCACCAAGGUUCGUAGGCCAUGUUCAAUCCCCUCAAGGGAAGCCUGAGACCACAGCUACUGCCUCGAAUCAGAAGCCCCAGCCUCAUCAUCUGGGGCCAGAGAACUAGGGCAGGAGGAGCCAAGUAGCACAGCAGGAAGCAUGAGUCCCUCCGAGGAGAAGCUGGUCUCUGAGAGGAGCACAGAAUGCAGCAGGCUGGAUAAGCCCCCUGCUGAAAUCAUGGGGUAAAAAAGAGACACAGGGGGAAUGGAGGAGCCAGAGAGAAAGCAGUGUGAUCACAGGCACACAGGACAGCAGCUCACCUUCCCAUCCUUGCUGGCUUUUGCACCCAACAGCCCAAAGCCUCCCCGCUGCAAAUUCUUUUUUUUUUUUUUUUUUGCCAGCCUCACUUCCUCUUGGGGAAGGCUGAGCUCUGGUAGAAGAAGAGAAUGAGAACUGCUGUAAAUACUUCUAAGGGGCCAGGCGUGGUGACUCAUGCUUGUAAUUCCAAGCACUUUGGGAGGCUGAGGCAGGUGGAUCACCUGAAGCCAGGAGUUCAAGAGCAGCCUGGCCAACAUGGCGAAACCCUGUCUCUACUAAAAAUACAAAAUUUAGCCAGGCAUGGUGGCGGGAGCCUGUAAUCUCAGCUCCUAGGGAGGCUGAGCCAGAAGAAUCGCUUAAACCUGGAAGCUGGAGGUUGCAGUGAGCCAAGAUCACACCACCACACUCCAGCCUGGGUGACAGAGCAAGACUCCAUCUCAAAAAGAAAAAAAAGAAAAAAAGGAAAUACUUCUAAGUUAUGUGAGAGAGUACAUACUGACAUUUUCAAUGGGUACAAUAA
rnacentral:lncRNA from 1 species